AUUGAACGCUGGCGGCAUGCCUUACACAUGCAAGUCGAACGGUAACAGGUCUUCGGAUGCUGACGAGUGGCGAACGGGUGAGUAAUACAUCGGAACGUGCCCGAUCGUGGGGGAUAACGAGGCGAAAGCUUUGCUAAUACCGCAUACGAUCUACGGAUGAAAGCGGGGGAUCUUCGGACCUCGCGCGGACGGAGCGGCCGAUGGCAGAUUAGGUAGUUGGUGGGAUAAAAGCUUACCAAGCCGACGAUCUGUAGCUGGUCUGAGAGGAUGAUCAGCCACAUGGGGACUGAGACACGGCCCAACCUCCUACGGGAGGCAGCAGGGGGGAAUUUUGGACAAGGGGCGAAAGCCUGAUCCAGCCAUGCCGCGUGAAGGAUGAAGGCCUUCGGGUUGUAAACUGCUUUUGUACGGAACGAAAAGCCUCUUUCUAAUAAAGAGGGGUCAUGACGGUACCGUAAGAAUAAGCACCGGCUAACUACGU
rnacentral:rRNA from 1 species